CUGCUCUGUGCCUCCACUGUUACAAUUCCCAGUCCUGUCUGCUCAGUUACAUUGCUGGGAGUUUUGAAUUGCAGCAUCUGAGACCUUUAGCAUCCUGAGGACUCUGCUGCUGCCAUCCUAUCUGGUUACCUACGUGGCUCAGCUGUUUGCUUUGCUGGGUGAGAGAGCUGGGAAAAUUCUGGGCUCCCUGAGUCUGGAGAGCAGAGGACUGCUGCUUUCAGUGCUGGGGAGGAAACUGCAGCUGAGCCAAGCUCGGACAACCACCUCAGGGUGAAAAUAAAGCAGGGAGUGACAUGGCAAUCCAGGUCAGCAUUGGUGACAGCUUCUGCAGCAUGGCAGAGGGAGGGGAAUUCUCUGAAAAAAAAAAACCCACUCCAGACUAAGUCAGCACCUACUCUGCUCACCACAGAUGCUUUCAGAGUGUUGACUGCCUAAAUGUGAAAUGAUGACCUUGCCCACUCUGCUCCCCUCUCGCCUCAGAGGGAUGAGCUCCUUUUUCACAAGGACCAAGCACUCCACCAACAGUGAUAGUUUCUGCUCAUCAACACUAAUCCUUGAUUUCAAAUAAAUAAGAUCAAGGCAAUGUCUCUCUGUAGCAGUUCUUACUGGAUUUUAAAUACAAUACAGCCAUAGGAUUAUUAUACUUAUAGUCCAAUUAGCACUUUUCCCAUCUGCAACUUGUCAGUUCUCAAUGUUAAGAACUGGCUUUUCAACACUCAGAUCUAAGAAAUGAAGCAGGCCUACCUCCAAUUAACAAGAAAUAAUUAUGCCCUCAGCAGAUCCUGAGCAUGCAUGUCCCCGAUUUCCGUUCAGGCUUUGUUUUUCAGCACAGCUGGCAGGCUGAUGGAAGGUAGAUUACAGCCUAGAGAGGCACUCACAACAGCUUGAUUUAACCAGUUAUUGCAACCACAAGGAGGGUGAGGAGCCCGAGAUGAGCCAUCGUUUUAUAGCCUAAGGGUUUAUCGAGGUGCUGGGUUUGAACAGAACAGCUGUGUGCUCUUGUGUCGAUGCACACGUCCAACACAUUCUUUUGUUUUCAAGAGGACCUGAAUUACAAAGUAAUCCAAUGAGCGCGCUGCCGCUCGUGGGAAUCAUUGUUUCUGCUGCCCGUGUGCGGUGCCUGUCUCUCCAGAGCCUUACACGGGCGCACUGUGCAACACCAGCUCGCAAAAAUGAUGAAACCUGCCCUGGUUGUGUUUGCUUUUCCCACCCCAUCCCCUGAGCCCCGCGUGGCCAAAUAUUUGUCCACGCUCUUAAAUAAAACUUGCUUGCCAGCA